AGCUAACCGAAGAACGCCGGAAAAAAUGGCUUUCAAACCUACAUCUGCGGUCGGGAGGAGCAGAGUCGUCUAAUGCACGGGUCUGCAGCGACCACUUCAUCAGAGGGUGCCCUAGCGCUUUGGGUGACGUUGAGUCGGUAGACUGGGCUCCCACUGUUAGCCUCGGUUACCACACAACAAGUAAGCCCAGAUCAGAGGCAUCUCUUCGACGAGAGCAGAGGAUGGAGCUCAAGGAAGACCAACAAAGACAAUCAGAAUGUGCAGAGGCUUUGUUGGAUCUCCGGCAGACAACCGAGAGCCCAGAACCGACGCAGCCCCCGUCUGACAGCCCCCGUCUGAUGCAGGAUGCCAGACUGAUUUAACGAUGGAGGACAUCGAGAGGAUGGAGGAUGUUCUGAGACAGAACACAACAGAGCUGGGAGAUCUUCGGACAAAGGCACUGGACACAAAGUUCAACCAGGAGUCCUUUGAGAAGAACGAAGAGAAAACAAAGUUUUACACCGGGCUCCCCAACUUCUUAGUUUUACUUCAGGUUUUUCAACUGUGCAAGCCCUACAUCACCUGUGGCCCUAUGUCUGUGCUCUCCAAAUUUGAACAGUUCAUUUUAGUUUGGCUGAGGCUGAGACUAAAUCUCCCUCUGAAAGAUUUGGCUUUCAGGUUCAACAUCUCUCUCUCCACUGCUUCUAGAAUUUGGCAUAAGUUAAUUGACAUACUUCACGAGAGUACAGAAUUUAUAAUUGAGUGGCCAGAGCGACAUGUACUUCAAGCAACAAUGCCAAUGGGAUUCAGACAGGCAUUUGGAUGUAGAGUUGCUGUGAUUGUUGACUGUUUUUAUUGAGAGGCCCUCUAAUUUACUAGCUAGAGCACAAACAUGGUCCAACUACAAGCAUCACCAUACUGUUACAUUUCUGAUUGGUGUUGCUCCCCAAGGCUAUGUUACCUACAUAUCUUGUGCCUGGGGAGGAAGAGUUAGUGAUAAACAGAUCACAAUACAGAGUGGGCUCCUAAAAAACCUGUUACCUGGAGAUAUUGUCCUAGCAGACCGUGGGUUCGAUAUUGCCGAUAGUGUGGGAUUUGACUGUGCUUCACUAAAGAUGCCUGCAUUCACCAGGGGGAAAAGUCAGCUGUCAGCAUACGAGGUGGAAGAGACAAGAAAAAUAGCUAAUGUGCGUAUUCAUGUUGAAAGAGUCAUAGGAUUAGUCAGAAGAAAAUAUCAGAUUCUGCAAAGCAGGGCUGUGCCCAUAGAGCACAUGCUAACAAAACCAGGUGAGGCACUAGCAUUAAUUGACAAGAUUGGGGUUAUUUGCUGUGCUUUGUCUAAUCUGUCAGUGUCUGUCGUCCCAUUGGAGUAAAGUCAUGGAGCUGUAGUCUUGUAAAUAAGAAACCAUGUAUUAUUCAGUAUCAUUUAAUCUUUUCAGUAAACAUCUUUUUGUGUUGAAAA